rnacentral:rRNA from 1 species
UACGUAGGGGGCAAGCGUUGUCCGGAUUUAUUGGGCGUAAAGAGCGUGUAGGCGGCCAGAUAGGUCAGCUGUGAAAACUCGAGGCUCAACCUCGAGACGUCGGUUGAAACCAUCUGGCUAGAGUCCGGAAGAGGAGAGUGGAAUUCCCGGUGUAGCGGUGAAAUGCGCAGAUAUCGGGAAGAACACCCGUGGCGAAGGCGGCUCUCUGGCCCCGAUACUGACGCUGAGGUGCGAAAGCGUGGGGAGCAAACAGGG